rnacentral:rRNA from 1 species
GAUGAACGCUAGCGGCAGGCCUAAUACAUGCAAGUCGAACGGUCCACUUCGGUGGAUAGUGGCGCACGGGUGCGUAACACGUAUGCAACCUACCUUACAUUGGGGGAUAGCCUUUCGAAAGGGAGAUUAAUACCGCAUAAGACAGUAACAUGGCAUCAUGUAGCUGUUAAAGAUUUAUCGAUGUAAGCUGGGCAUGCGUCCAAUUAGUUAGUUGGUGAGGUAAAGGCUCACCAAGACGAUGAUUGGUAGGGGAACUGAGAGGUCAAUCCCCCACACUGGCACUGAGAUACGGGCCAGACUCCUACGGGAGGCAGCAGUAGGGAAUAUUGGGCAAUGGACGCAAGUCUGACCCAGCCAUGCCGCGUGCAGGAAGAAGGCGUUCUGCGUUGUAAACUGCUUUUAUAUAGGAAGAAACGACCCUUGCGAGGGGCAUUGACGGUAUUAUAUGAAUAAGCACCGGCUAACUCCGUGCCAGCAGCCGCCGUAACAC